UACCUGAAACCUUCCAUCCAUCAUGCUUUGU
rnacentral:piRNA from 1 species